UACGUAGGGGGCAAGCGUUGUCCGGAAUCAUUGGGCGUAAAGCGCGUGUAGGCGGCUCAGUAAGUCCGCUGUGAAAGUCCAGGGCUCAACCCUGGAAUGCCGGUGGAUACUGUCGGGCUCGAAUCCGGAAGAGGUGAGUGGAAUUCCUGGUGUAGCGGUGAAAUGCGCAGAUAUCAGGAGGAACACCAAUUGCGAAGGCAGCUCGCUGGGACGUUACUGACGCUGAGACGCGAAAGCGUGGGGAGCAAACAGG
rnacentral:rRNA from 1 species